GAUGAACGCUGGCGGCGUGCCUAAUACAUGCAAGUCGAGCGAACGGACGAGAAGCUUGCUUUUCUGAUGUUAGCGGCGGACGGGUGGGUAACACGUGGAUAACCUACCUAUAAGACUGGGAUAACUUCGGGAAACCGGAGCUAAUACCGGAUAAUAUUUUGAACCGCAUGGUUCAAAAGUGAAAGACGGUCUUGCUGUCACUUAUAGAUGGAUCCGCGCUGCAUUAGCUAGUUGGUAAGGUAACGGCUUACCAAGGCAACGAUGCAUAGCCGACCUGAGAGGGUGAUCGGCCACACUAGAACUGAGACACGGUCCAGACUCCUACGGGAGGCAGCAGUAGGGAAUCUUCCGCAAUGGGCGAAAGCCUGACGGAGCAACGCCGCGUGAGUGAUGAAGGUCUUCGGAUCGUAAAACUCUGUUAUUAGGGAAGAACAUAUGUGUAAGUAACUGUGCACAUCUUGACGGUACCUAAUCAGAAAGCCACGGCUAACUACGUG
rnacentral:rRNA from 1 species